UCCCUGAUAGCUUAGUUGGUAAAGAAUCUGCCUGCAAUGCAGGAGACCCCGGUUCACUUCCUGGAUUGGGAA
rnacentral:tRNA from 1 species